rnacentral:rRNA from 1 species
UACGUAGGGUGCAAGCGUUGUCCGGAAUUAUUGGGCGUAAAGAGCUCGUAGGCGGUCUGUCGCGUCUGCUGUGAAAAACCUAGGGCUUAACUCUGGGCGUGCAGUGGGUACGGGCAGGCUAGAGUGCGGUAGGGGGAGACUGGAAUUCCUGGUGUAGCGGUGAAAUGCGCAGAUAUCAGGGAGGAACACCGGUGGCGAAGCGGGUCUCUGGGCCGUAACUGACGCUGAGGAGCGAAAGCAUGGGGAGCAAACAGG